AGCUUCUUGAAUCUGUACGGAGAUUUCGUCAAACACCAAUCUAUUAGGGUUGAUAACACUUCCAAGAUAAGUGAAGUU
rfam:Schistosoma margrebowiei strain Zambia genome assembly, scaffold: SMRZ_contig0000510